CGGCGAGUGAAGCGGCAACAGCUCAAAUUUGAAAUCUGGCUCUCGGGCCCGAGUUGUAAUUUGUAGAGGAUGCUUUUGAUGCGGUGCCUUCCGAGUUCCCUGGAACGGGACGCCAUAGAGGGUGAGAGCCCCGUCUGGUUGGAUGCCAAAUCUCUGUAAAGCUCCUUCAACGAGUCGAGUAGUUUGGGAAUGCUGCUCUAAAUGGGAGGUAUAUGUCUUCUAAAGCUAAAUACCGGCCAGAGACCGAUAGCGCACAAGUAGAGUGAUCGAAAGAUGAAAAGCACUUUGAAAAGAGAGUUAAAAAGUACGUGAAAUUGUUGAAAGGGAAGCGUUUAUGACCAGACUUGGGCUUGGUUGAUCAUCUGGGGUUCUCCCCAGUGCACUCUUCCAGUCCAGGCCAGCAUCAGUUUUCCCCGGGGGAUAAAGGCGGCGGGAAUGUGGCUCUCUUCGGGGAGUGUUAUAGCCCACCGUGUAAUACCCUGGGGGGGACUGAGGUUCGCGCAUCUGCAAGGAUGCUGGCGUAAUGGUCAUCAACGACCCGUCUUGAAACACGGACCAAGGAGUCGUCUUCGUAUGCGAGUGUUCGGGUGUCAAACCCCUACGCGUAAUGAAAGUGAACGCAGGUGAGAGCUUCGGCGCAUCAUCGACCGAUCCUGAUGUUCUCGGAUGGAUUUGAGUAAGAGCAUACGGGGCCGGACCCGAAAGAAGGUGAACUAUGCCUGUAUAGGGUGAAGCCAGAGGAAACUCUGGUGGAGGCUCGCAGCGGUUCUGACGUGCAAAUCGAUCGUCAAAUAUGGGCAUGGGGGCGAAAGACUAAUCGAACCUUCUAGUAGCUGGUUUCCGCCGAA
rnacentral:rRNA from 1 species